GUCGCCGUAGUCUAGGCGGUUAGGAUACGUGGCUUUCAAUAAUUGUAUAGGCCCCACGCGACCCGGGUUCGAGUCCCGGCGGCGACA
rfam:Gonium pectorale scaffold00698, whole genome shotgun sequence.